rnacentral:rRNA from 1 species
AACGAACGCUGGCGGCAUGCCUAACACAAGCCAGUCGAACGAGACCUUCGGGUCUAGUGGCGCAUGGGUGCGUAACGCGUGGGAACCUGCCCUUAGGUUCGGAAUAACUCCCCGAAAGGGGUGCUAAUACCGGAUAAUGUCUUCGGACCAAAGAUUUAUCGCCUUUGGAUGGGCCCGCGUUGGAUUAGCUAGUUGGUAGGGUAAAAGCCUACCAAGGCGACGAUCCAUAGCUGGUCUGAGAGGAUGAUCAGCCACACUGGGACUGAGACACGGCCCAGACUCCUACGGGAGGCAGCAGUGGGGAAUAUUGGACAAUGGGCGAAAGCCUGAUCCAGCAAUGCCGCGUGAGUGAUGAAGGCCUUAGGGUUGUAAAGCUCUUUUACCCGGGAUGAUAAUGACAGUACCGGGAGAAUAAGCUCCGGCUAACUCCGUG